rnacentral:rRNA from 1 species
AUACGGAGGGUGCAAGCGUUACUCGGAAUCACUGGGCGUAAAGCGCGCGCAGGCGGUCUUUUAAGUUGGAUGUGAAAGCCUACAGCUCAACUGUAGAACUGCAUCCAAAACUAUUAGACUAGAGUCUGGGAGGGGAAGAUGGAAUUAGUUGUGUAGGGGUAAAAUCCGUAGAGAUAACUAAGAAUACCAAAAGCGAAGGCGAUCUUCUGGAACAGUACUGACGCUGAGGCGCGAAAGCGUGGGGAGCAAACAGGAUUAGAAACCCCAGUAGUCC